GAGGAGAGAGAAUAGAUCCCAACAAUAUUGUCAGGAUCGCAUCUCAGCACAGCACUUAGCCCCACCCACAGUGUAUUACAUGGAAUUACAAGAUUAUG